UCAGCUCUCUUUCCAUUAAUUUGGCUUAGAUCAAGUGUAGUAUCUGUUCUUUUCAGUUUAAUCUCUGAAACGUCUCUACGGAGGCAUCAAGAUUAAUCUUGUUUUUGGAUCUGGGGUGAUGGCCGCUGAGCUUGCUCAUGCCGUCUCCCACAGUGUCGCCCGUAUUCGCACUGUUUCGGGCUGACGCGACAUCUU
rnacentral:snRNA from 1 species